CCUACGGGCGGCAGCAGUGGGGAAUAUUGCACAAUGGGGGGAACCCUGAUGCAGCAACGCCGCGUGAAGGAAGACGGUUUUCGGAUUGUAAACUUCUAUCAAUAGGGAAGAAAGAAAUGACGGUACCUAAAUAAGAAGCCCCGGCUAACUACGUGCCAGCAGCCGCGGUAAUACGUAGGGGGCAAGCGUUAUCCGGAUUUACUGGGUGUAAAGGGAGCGUAGACGGCGAUGCAAGUCUGAAGUGAAAGGCGGGGGCCCAACCCCCGGACUGCUUUGGAAACUGUAUGGCUGGAGUGCAGGAGAGGUAAGUGGAAUUCCUAGUGUAGCGGUGAAAUGCGUAGAUAUUAGGAGGAACACCAGUGGCGAAGGCGGCUUACUGGACUGUAACUGACGUUGAGGCUCGAAAGCGUGGGGAGCAAACAGGAUUAGAUACCCUUGUAGUC
rnacentral:rRNA from 1 species